ACGCCCCCCGCAGCAGCCAGGCCUGCUCCAGGUAAUCCAGAGGCAGGUGCGUGCCCAUCCACAGGUGACGCACAGUGCUGAGCCUGCUGCUGGUAUCUAUCCCACAAUGCCUCACUGCAGCCCUUUGAUCCGCUCAAGUACUAUGCAGGUGUUUUUUUCUCCAAACUCCUUCAGGUGAACUGUAGUCGCGUGUUCAGACGGUUUUAUUUAUUGCAUUUUAACAGCAAAAAAAAAAGCUCAUCUUCAGGCCUGGACACGUAACACCCUUAAUGUCAUCAUAUUGAUGAAAACGAGAGGCUAUUAGUGUUUUAGUAAACCGAUUUUUUCCAUUCUGAACGUGAGAUUGAAUUACUCCAUCCAGUGCACACAGAGUUCACGGAAACCAUCGCAGUUCUGCUCAGUCCGUCGCUUUCUAACUUUAGAUCUCAGAACGACUUCAGAUGAAUCCUGGGAUGCGUAAGCGGCGUUUUAAUUUAGUCCUGGUGCUGUAGAACAGUACAACAUCAAAAGAGACCCGUCCACGCCGCCUCUCUUUUAUCAAUUUUUAUAAACAUUUCAGAAUCGCAAGCUUUCAUACUGCAGCUUUGAGUGGACCUCAUUUAUUAUAUUAUUCAUAUUAUACCGCGUUGGUUUAGUCUCUUUAUUUAAAGGAAAAUUUCGCCUGUGAACGAGUAGAGUGUUUGUAGAGCAUCUCAAAGAUAUUUUUGAGCAUUCUGGGUUCGGAUGCGUAAAACGGUGACAGAGAGUUUUUAUUUUUGGGGUGAAAUGUUCCAGCUUUUACAUAUCAUUGCAGUGAGGUUGACCUCAGCUAGCAAACAAAAGGAACCACUGUACAGUACAAAUACUUACUGUAAAUUAUUCUCCAGUUUCAAUGCAAUAGCACCUUUUCACACAGUAUAUUUUUAUGAAUAUGUCCUGUAAAGCGACUUAGCACUGUACAUAGUUUAGGAUCAAAGGUUUUAUAGCAAAAUGUCUCGUCGAGGAUAUUAAUUAUGGUCCGUAUCGUCUGUUACUAAAGUAAUACUAUAUACAGUGUUUUUCACCUAUAUAUUUUGUUUAUUGAGACAUUUGUCGUUGGAUUAGUGGAAGAUUCUGUGCUCUGUAUUUCUUAUUUAACAAACUUUGUUUAAAAAAAAGAGACUAAAGGUUUGGUUUAGUGAUUGCGCAGCCGUAGAAGUGGCCCGGCGGAGGGGGGGGGAUCUCACACAAUCUGCCAGGGUU